rnacentral:rRNA from 1 species
AGUGAAUAGAUACCCGGGUAGUCCACGCCGUAAACGAUGGAUACUUGGUGUUGGAGGUAUUGACCCCUUCAGUGCCGAAAGCAAAAACGCGUUAAGUAUCCCGCCUGGGGAGUACGGUCGCAAGAUUAAAACUCAAAGAAAUUGACGGGGGCCCGGCACAAGCGGUGGAGCAUGUGGUUUAAUUCGAUGCAACGCGAAAAACCUUACCUGGCUCGAAAUGUACAGGAAGACAGCAGAGAUGUUGUCGCCUUCGGGUCUGUAUAUAGGUGCUGCAUGGCUGUCGUCAGCUCGUGUCGUGAGAUGUU